rnacentral:misc_RNA from 1 species
UUUCCAUAGGUGAACCUGCGGAAGGAUCAUUAUUGAAUAAACAGUGUGGGUUGUUGCUGGCCUUCUGGCAUGUGCACGCCUGCCAUAUGUUUCAUUCCCUUCUUUCCACCUGUGCACUAUGUGUAGGCUAUGUAUGCUGUAUUGUCAGGCCCUUCAUAAGGCUUGGUUUAGAGAGGAUGCUUGUCUUUAUGAGACAGGCUCAUCUUGGGCGUACAGGUCUAUGUUUUACACCAACACCAAAUGAAUGUCUUAGAAUGUAUUUUUUCAGGCUCUUGCUAGCCUUUAAACCAUAUACAACUUUCAACAACGGAUCUCUUGGCUCUC